rnacentral:tRNA from 1 species
CUAAGGAAGCUGUGGAACUGGUAAGACGAUCGGCUGGAUCUUCGGAUCUCCCCGAUAUGAACCUUCCCGUGCUUUUUAGAACAUAGAUGGCACCAGUCAGGUGACCAUCGAAACGUAAUACGUCACAGAGACCUCGUGUCCUGAUGAUAUGGCGAGCUGCGCCGUCCACGUUUCUCUUUCUUCAAGAAGACAAAAAACCGCGUCGAUCCAGUUUAGGCUGGGCCGGUUCCCCGAAUGGGCCCGUAGCUCAGUUGGUUAGAGCACACGCUUGAUAAGCGUGGGGUCGGAAGUUCAAGUCUUCCCGGGCCCACCAUUUGCACCAGCAAAUGAAGUUUGCUGUAGCCAAUGAGGGUUAGGGAUGAUGGAAUGUCAGGCGAUGCGGAUUGUUGCCGAACCUUGGGGCUUGUCCUUGGGGUGAUCGAGCUGGAGGGGCUGUAGCUCAGCUGGGAGAGCACCUGCUUUGCAAGCAGGGGGUCAGCGGUUCGAUCCCGCUCAGCUCCACCAAAUCGAUUGGUGUUGAAGCUGACGGCAUUUGUCUUUUGAAGAAAAUAAGGUUUUGCAUCGGCCUGUGGCUGGUGCGUGUUCUGCAUACAUUGUGAAGAGAAGAUUGAUCUGGAGGCUUCCAGGUGUCGGGUUUUGCCCUUUUGGGUUUAACUUGGCGUCCGAGCCCAGUUCUGAUGAUCCCAUGGAUGGCCUAGCCGGCCGGAUAUGGGUGAAGGACUGGAGGGUGGAAGGAAGCUUGUCGCUCUGGAUCGUUCGUUGUUCGUUGCCUUUGGGCAUCGUCUGAUGAACGAUCGGAUUACCGUUGCCUGACCGCGCGGUAUCGGAUCAUAUCUCGAGAAGCUGGUCUUAAGACAGGCUGCAAGCGAGCUGCUCGGCGUAGCUCCAAUAAAGCAGACCUGUCGAACACGUUAAUGGCAUUGUUGGAUUGACUGGGUUGUAAAAGGUAACCCGGUCUGUUGCCGUUCCUUAUGGAGUGGGCAACGAGACGAUGAGCAUUGGCAAUGAGAACG